UACGUAGGGUGCAAGCGUUAAUCGGAAUUACUGGGCGUAAAGCGUGCGCAGGCGGUGAUGUAAGACAGUUGUGAAAUCCCCGGGCUCAACCUGGGAACUGCAUCUGUGACUGCAUCGCUGGAGUGCGGCAGAGGGGGAUGGAAUUCCGCGUGUAGCAGUGAAAUGCGUAGAUAUGCGGAGGAAUACCGAUGGCGAAGGCAGCCUCCUGGGCCAACACUGACGCUCAUGCACGAAGCGUGG
rnacentral:rRNA from 1 species